rnacentral:rRNA from 1 species
UACAGAGGUCUCAAGCGUUGUUCGGAUUCAUUGGGCGUAAAGGGUGCGUAGGUGGCGGGGUAAGUCGGAUGUGAAAUCCCGGGGCUCAACCUCGGAACUGCAUUCGAUACUGCUUUGCUUGAGUACUGGAGAGGAGAUUGGAAUUUACGGUGUAGCAGUGAAAUGCGUAGAUAUCGUAAGGAAGACCAGUGGCGAAGGCGGAUCUCUGGACAGUUACUGACACUGAGGCACGAAGGCCAGGGGAGCA